rnacentral:lncRNA from 1 species
AGAGGUCUGGCUGUGCGCUCACAGACGCUGUGGCACCAGGGAACAAAGGAAGGGGUCAGCGUGGAAACACAGAGAGCAAGACGGAUGGAGAUGACACCGAGACAGUGCCCUCAGAGCAGUCUCAUGCAAGUGGCAAACUCCGGAAGAAGAAAAAAAAACAGAAAAACAAGAAAAGCAGCACGGGAGAAGCAUCGGAAAACGGACUAGAAGAUAUCGAUCGCAUCCUAGAGAGGAUUGAGGACAGCACUGGGUUGAACCGUCCCGGCCCAGCUCCCCUGAGCUCCAGGAAGCACGUUCUCUACGUGGAGCACAGGUGUGGCCCCCGCCCUUCUCUGCGGCUGCCCUUCUCUGCGGCUGCCCUUCUCUGCGGCUGCCCUUCUCUGCGGCUGCCCUUCUCUGUGGCUGCCACAGAGACUUCGUGGGAGGAAAAGGUUCUCUAAAAAAGGAAAAAUAAAAUGUACUGUCUUUAUUUAAAAA